rnacentral:misc_RNA from 1 species
UCUCCGUUGGUGAACCAGCGGAGGGAUCAUUAUCGAGUUUAUAACUCCCAAACCCUAUGUGAACUUACCACUUGUUGCUUCGGCGCGCGCUUCGGCGCCGCCGAGGACACUUAAACUCUUUGUUUUUAUAAGCAUUUCUGAGUGGCCGAAGGGCAAAAUACAAAUGAAUCAAAACUUUCAACAACGGAUCUCUUGGUUCUG